rnacentral:telomerase_RNA from 1 species
CUGGUCCCGGCAUCACCGCCCUUCCACGUACCCGACACGGCCAUACCCAAUGGUCUGGUAACCCUAAGACCUAAUUGAUCGCCCGUGCAGAGGCGGUCAGAUCACCUGUGUGAAACGAGGGAUUUCUCCAGGGGKUUUCCCCUCAACCCAAGCAAACCCCGCAGCUGGUCAGGGUUCCUGGUGCCAGGCAGCAGCGGAGAUGCCCUCCCUCCUGCCCAGCUCAUCUCGUGGGGUGCAGAGCCCGGGCCUGCCUCAUCGAGGCAUAGCCUGUGAGUGGUUCGUCCAUGCCCUCUGCACGAGUCCGGAGUGAGUUGCACGCACAGCUUCAGCCACAUUUU